rnacentral:rRNA from 1 species
GGUGAACGCUGGCGGUAGGCCUAACACAUGCAGUCGAACGGCAGCACAGUAAGAGCUUGCUCUUACGGGUGGCGAGUGGCGGACGGGUGAGGAAUACAUCGGAAUCUACUUUUUCGUGGGGGAUAACGUAGGGAAACUUACGCUAAUACCGCAUACGACCUACGGGUGAAAGCAGGGGAUCUUCGGACCUUGCGCGAUUGAAUGAGCCGAUGUCGGAUUAGCUAGUUGGCGGGGUAAAGGCCCACCAAGGCGACGAUCCGUAGCUGGUCUGAGAGGAUGAUCAGCCACACUGGAACUGAGACACGGUCCAGACUCCUACAGGAGGCAGCAGUGGGGAAUAUUGGACAAUGGGCGCAAGCCUGAUCCAGCCAUACCGCGUGGGUGAAGAAGGCCUUCGGGUUGUAAAGCCCUUUUGUUGGGAAAGAAAAGCAGCAGGUUAAUACCCCGCUGUUCUGACGGUACCCAAAGAAUAAGCACCGGCUAACUUCGUG